AUCAGAAUGUAUAAGUGCAGGAU
rnacentral:snRNA from 1 species